rnacentral:ncRNA from 1 species
UAAACGACGUUGAAGAAGAGUAAGUACGCAUCAGAUAUUGAGGUCCAGAGAGUCGGUGGCCGCUGUGAACCGAUCCUCACCUGAUGCCGAAUGGGCUUCUGAGUCGCUACGCUGAACCCUAAGUAGGCGCUGCCGGGAGUCUCUCCCCGUUACCAAGAGAGGAGUAUCGCAAGACCGCUAUUCAUGGCGUCUUCCUGUACUUUUAGUGAACCGCUUAUAUAGAAAGUGAACUUAAGAAUCUAACGGAGCUAAAUUCUUAAGUUCAGCUUAUUUAGCGGUUAAAAAGGUGGUACCACGAUAACCUCGUCCUUUGC